UCAGGAUUGUGGUGUAACAGCAGCAUCUCUCCCUGUGAAGGAGACGGUCCGGGUGCGAAUCCCGGCUUCCUGACCC
rnacentral:tRNA from 1 species